rnacentral:lncRNA from 1 species
CCUAUAAGCCAAUCAUAAGUGUGUUGCGAUGGAACUUUCUUUAAAAUUUUCCAACUCAUAAAAUGAUAUUUAUUAUUUGAGAUAUUGAUUUAUCAUAUUAGCCGCAUCUUAAUAUGUCUAAGAUUAUGAUGAACCUCAAAGAUUAGGAUAAUGGUUUUAGGAGACAUAAAUGGAUCCUGCUAGUGAGACCUAAAAUCCUAAAAUCCUAAUCUUAAAUAUUUCUGGUUGUAGGAGCAUUGAGUCGG